CGCAUCUGUGCAUGCAGCAUAUCAAUAAGCGGAGGAAAAGAAACUAACAAGGAUUCCCCUAGUAACGGCGAGUGAAGCGGGAAGAGCUCAAAUUUGAAAUCUUAAAGGGUUUCCCUUUACGAAUUGUAGUUUAAAGAAGUGUUUUCUGUUGAGGUUUUGGUAAUAGUUCUUUGGAAUAGGACAUCAUAGAGGGUGAGAAUCCCGUAUUUGACCUUUACUUUCAACUUUGUGAUACACUUUCAAAGAGUCGGAUUGUUUGGGAAUGCAGUCCAAAAUGGGUGGUAAAUUUCAUCUAAAGCUAAAUAUUGGCGAGAGACUGAUAGCGAACAAGUACCGUGAGGGAAAGAUGAAAAGAACUUUGAAAAGAGAGUUAAACAGUACGUGAAAUUGUCAAAAGGGAAGCGUUUGACACCAGUGUUGUUUUUCUGAAAAUCAAUUAAAGAACUGUUUAUGCUAAGCUGUUUAGACUUUAUCAGCUAACUGUUUAGUUUUGAGCUUUUCUUUAAUGCACUUUUCAGUUAACAAGUCAACAUCAAUUUCUUUUGCUGUAAAAAAGCUUGAGGAAGGUGGCUUGAGAUUCGUCUUAAGUGUUUAUAGCCUCUUGCCUAUGCAGUCGGAGAGAUUGAGGUCUGCAGCGUAGAUCCUUCGGGGCUAAAUGCAUUUGUGCUAAGUUAUAGCAUUUUAUAGACAACUUGUUGACUAUGAUUUGUCUUGUAGCUUACUCGCUUAUGUUAUUUUACCUACGCUUAGGAUGUUGAGUCAUCACACAUCUCU
rnacentral:rRNA from 1 species